AUUGAACGCUGGCGGCAGGCCUAACACAUGCAAGUCGAGCGGAUGAAGGGAGCUUGCUCCUGGAUUCAGCGGCGGACGGGUGAGUAAUGCCUAUGAAUCUGCCUGCUAGUGGGGGAUAACGUCCGGAAACGGGCGCUAUUAUCCCAUACGUCCUGAGGGAGAAAGUGGGGGAUCUUCGGACCUCACGCUCUCAGAUGAUCCUAGGUCGGAUUAGCUAGUUGGUGGGGUAAAGGCCUACCAAGGCGACGAUCCGUAACUGGUCUGAGAGGAUGAUCAGUCACACUGGAACUGAGACACGGUCCAGACUCCUACGGGAGGCAGCAGUGGGGAAUAUUGGACAAUGGGCGAAAGCCUGAUCCAGCCAUGCUGCGUGUGUGAAGAAGGUCUUCGGAUUGUAAAGCACUUUAAGUUGGGAGGAAGGGCAGUAAGUUAAUACCUUGCUGUUUUGACGGUACCAACAGAAUAAGCACCGGCUAACUUCGUG
rnacentral:rRNA from 1 species